CGAACGCGAAAGGGGCUUCGGCCCUGAGUAGAGUGGCGAACGGGUGAGUAACACGUGGGUGAUCUACCUUCGAGUGGGGGAUAACGUCCCGAAAGGGACGCUAAUACCGCAUGACGUUCUGGGUUUAAAGACCUGGAAACCAAAGCCGGGGACCGCAAGGCCUGGCGCUUGAAGAGGAGCCCGCGUCCGAUUAGCUAGUUGGCGGGGUAAUGGCCCACCAAGGCGACGAUCGGUAGCCUGCCUGAGAGGGCGGACGGCCACACUGGAACUGAGACACGGUCCAGACUCCUACGGGAGGCAGCAGUGGGGAAUUGUUCACAAUGGGCGCAAGCCUGAUGACGCAACGCCGCGUGGGGGAUGAAGGUCUUCGGAUUGUAAACCCCUGUCGAAUGGGACGAAAGACCCGGGAGCUAAUCAUCCUGGGAGUGACGGUACCGUUAAAGGAAGCCACGGCUAACUCUGUGCCAGCAGCCGCGGUAAUACAGAGGUGGCAAGCGUUGUUCGGAAUUACUGGGCGUAAAGGGCGCGUAGGCGGCCAUCUAAGUCAGACGUGAAAUCCCCCGGCUUAACCUGGGAACUGCGUCUGAUACUGGACGGCUCGAGUAUGGGAGAGGGAUGUAGAAUUCCAGGUGUAGCGGUGAAAUGCGUAGAUAUCUGGAGGAAUACCGGUGGCGAAGGCGGCAUCCUGGACCAUUUACUGACGCUGAGGCGCGAAAGCUAGGGGAGCAAACGGGAUUAGAUACCCCGGUAGUCCUAGCCCUAAACGAUGAAUGCUUGGUGUGGCGGGUAUCGAUCCCUGCCGUGCCGAAGCUAACGCAUUAAGCAUUCC
rnacentral:rRNA from 1 species